rnacentral:misc_RNA from 1 species
UCCGGCUUGUCACCGGCAGUCCCUUCAGAGUGCCCAACUAAAUGAUGGCAACUGAAGGCGAGGGUUGCGCUCGUUGCGGGACUUAACCCAACAUCUCACGACACGAGCUGACGACAGCCAUGCAGCACCUAGUUUCGCGCCCUUGCGGGAAGGCCCCUUUCAGGGCCGGUCGCUAACUUUCAAGCCCAGGUAAGGUUCCUCGCGUAUCAUCGAAUUAAACCACAUGCUCCUCCGCUUGUGCGGGCCCCCGUCAAUUCCUUUGAGUUUCAACCUUGCGGUCGUACUUCCCAGGUGGAUCACUUAAUGGUUUCCCUUAGACGCUGACUGUGUAUCGCCAACAUCGAGUGAUCAUCGUUUAGGGCGUGGACUAC